rnacentral:sRNA from 1 species
AAGCUUUCUCUUUUAGCCCCGCCUCCUUCCCGGCUCCAGCUGGGGCCGGAGAGGCUGAGCGGUCGCUACGCUGCUCGCUGGCCCCCCAGUCUUCCCAGCAACCGGUGACACUGCCCGCGCGAGACUGACCACUAGCCGACGCGGGCGAGAGGGACAGGAGCCGUGACCCUUUUGCCUGUGGGAUGAGCUCCAGCAUGGGGUGAGGUACAGAAGAGAGACUUGAAGAGCGUGCCUUGGGACUCAAGCGCCAAACCUGUACCCUAGCGAGUGUCUUACUCCGCAUCCAUAAUGGAAGGAAAUGCACAUCUUACUCCAGAGGCACAAGAGGAGGACAUCCCAUGCUGUCUACUCCUGCCCAGUGUGGUGGGGCAGCAGAAGCUCCAGAGCCCAGACUUGCAGGCUCACGGUGCAGGGUGAACCUGGCCACAGCUCACCUCUGGAACAGCCGCAGUGUCAGCCCCUUAGAGAAGAACGCUGAAAUCAGACCAGUUUUUGUGGCCUCCCCCUUUCCUCUCUGUUACAGUGCCCUUUCCAGGCCUUAAGAGAAGUAAAACUUA